rnacentral:tRNA from 1 species
GGCAAUGUGGCCUAAUGGCAAGAGCAACAGAUUGGGACUCAGGCAACCUGGAUUCCAUUUCCAGCUCUGCCA